rnacentral:rRNA from 1 species
AGUUAACGUUGGCGGCGUGCCUAACACAUGCAAGUCGAACGCGUCCUAAGGGCAACUUUAGGAUGAGUGGCGAACGGGUGAGUAUCACGUGGGUAAUCUUCCUUCAAGUGGGGAAUAAGCUCUCGAAAGGGAGUCUAAUACCGCAUGACAUUCCGGGACACAAGUCCCGUAAUCAAAGCCGCGAGGCGCUUGAAGAUGAGCCUGCGUCCUAUUAGCUAGUUGGUGGGGUAACGGCCUACCAAGGCUUAGAUGGGUAGCCGGCCUGAGAGGGUGAACGGCCACACUGGGACUGAGACACGGCCCAGACUCCUACGGGAGGCAGCAGUGAGGAAUUUUGCGCAAUGGGGGAAACCCUGACGCAGCGACGCCGCGUGGAGGAUGAAGGCCUUCGGGUCGUAAACUCCUGUCAGAGGUGAAGAAUACCCGCAAGGGUUUGACGGUAACCUCAGAGGAAGCCCCGGCUAACUACGUG